GGGCUGCUCUGGGGAUAGAGGCCGCAUUGUUCCCACGCCGGGCCCGGCCGAGGGGCAGGCGGCGGCCAGCACCCCGGCUGUGCGCCCCGGGGGCCCCCAGAGCGAGCCCACUCUAGCCGAUGCCCGGGAAGGCUGUGCCGUCCGGGCUGGGAGACGGGUCACUGGCUUGAAUCCGGCCCUGCGUCCGACCGGCCACCUAACCCCGGGCAAGCCGUGCCACGUCUCCCGGCCUCCGUUUCCCCACCCGUACAAGGGACAGCGGUCUCAGCUCCGGCCACUAGGGCUGCUGUGAUGACGCAAUGGAAGAUGCACACAGUCAGGCCGCGGCGAGCGCUCCAGGGUCAGGCCCCAGGCCCGUCACCAACACGCCGCUCAGACCAUCACUAAUCCAGCAGUUUCACCGAGGCAAAUACUCCACCACAGGGAGGAAAGAGACAGCCGUACCCAAAGCACAAGGGGCGGGGGGAGCGCGUGAGCGAGAAGCAAGCGGCCGGGAGGAGCCCUCUGGUCCUUGGGCUCUGGGCUCACGCACACGGCCACGUGACGCGCUCGCCAGCUGAUGCCAGAGACAAAGCAGGUUAAUGAAGAAAGUGAAACAAGCUACAGCUAAGAGGUUCCAGGAUUUUUUUUUUUUUAAGAUGCAACAGCAAUAUUUAAAAACAAAACCGCAUUUUUGAAGCCAGAUAUGAUAAUUUGCCAACAAAGUCUUUUGGGGAAAAGGGAAGCCUGGCUGGGAGGGGCCCCUCUUCGCCCACCCUGAUUGGGGCCACUCCCUCUUCUGUCCUCCACCCACCAGACUGAGGACCCCCUGAGCUGGUGGGGGUCUCGGCCGGUUGUCCCCCACCACCUCCCCAACGCCCCCAUCCCCAGGAAGACUGAUUCCCCAAUGUCCCCAUGUCGAGCCCCAGCCUGAUCGAUUCCUCUCGGAGACCCUAACGAGAGCCUGGGAUCCCGGCCCUGCCUCCCAGGGCGCCCUCCUGGCUGUGCUGAAGCUGGACCUUGAGGAUGGACCAGGUUGGCAGCCCAGGCACCACCGGCGGCCACAGAGCAGGGCAGAGGGAGGUGGCUCCUUCCUGAGCAGGCCUUGCAGUAAAAUCCUGUUUCUUCUAUUAGUUCAGAAAACGUCCAUCCGGCGCGAACUCUGGGCCAGGCUUGUCCAGCCGGCGAGGGUGUCCGAGGGCCUGUGUGUGGCUUCACUAAGGCAGGCCAGACUCCCUGGUAACCUGCCGGCUGGUCCCAAGUUCACCGGAGGACGGGGUUUGCAGAGGAGUUGAAAGACACCAGAGAACCACAAAUACUGUCCAAAAUUGCUCUUGGUGGCUUUCCCCCCACCCCCUUGGGAUCGACCCUUCCUCUUCCAGACCCAGUUUCUCUCACUUCCAUCCUGCAUCCCCGCAGCAGACAAAGGCCGACUGGGCCUGGGCCGAGGGAGGCCCCAUCCAGCCCACGGUCCAAACCCCGGCUACCUUUCCAGAGCUUGCCAACAUGCCCCUGCGGCCUCGCAGAAGGAAUCACGGAGGAAGAAAAAAUAAACUUGUGAAAGUUUAAACUCCACUCGAUAAAAAAAAAUCCAGACAUUCCCAGUGAAACUUCCCAAGAACCACAGGUCAGGGGACUUUCUCUUUUUCCUUUCCUGUAAAUCUCAUCCCUGACCGAGUUCUCAGGGUCUGUGAUGCCCAGACACUGGUGCUCUGCUGGCCCAGCCAACGGGACACUGGUCGGCCCUGAAAAUAAAUAUUUCAUA